rnacentral:rRNA from 1 species
GUUUGACCUCGGAUCAGGUAGGGUUACCCGCUGAA